rnacentral:rRNA from 1 species
AUGCAUAUCCCCACGGCUCUCUGGCACCGGUUUGGCACAGUGAAAGCUUGGUGGGAUGAGCUCCUCAUUUCCAGUGCUCAUCCAGUUAAAGCCUUGUCUUCCGCAUUACUUCUUGUGGGAUGGAAAAUCUGGAAGGAAACAAAUGCGCGCGUUUUCAGAAACAAGGCGGCACCGGUGGAGGUCGUCUUGCGAAACAUCAAAGAGGAAAUGUCACUUUGGGCCAUUGCGGGUGCCAAGCACUUGAGUAAUGUAAUGCCGCGAGAGUAA